AAAGCCGUUUACAAAUCAGCCUGUCCAGGGAUUCAGGCUGGAACAGCUGGCGAGGCCUAUGAGCAGGUUUACUGCUGGAGUCCUUGGGUAGGCUGCCUUGGUGACUGAUCAGUGGGGACUUGGGCCUGAUACCUUGGUCCAUAAGACAUGGGCCUGGUUCUGGGGCAGUCCUGGAGCCUCCAUAUGUGGAAGGCGUUCUGGAGCUGAGGUGCCAUAAUCUUUCACCUGGGUUCCUUAGCUCUUGUGAAGGUAUCUUCAUGCAUGGAUGGUAGUUCAAACUGAUGUUUCUUUGAAAGACUCUGGCCUUGUCAAAAGAAGGACGUAAGAAGGCACGAUGUAUUAUACUUGGGAAUGAUAGAAGAGACUGACCUGGUAUUUCCACCC
rnacentral:lncRNA from 1 species